rnacentral:misc_RNA from 1 species
AACGCACAUUGCGCCCUGUGGUAUUCCGCAGGGCAUGCCUGUUCGAGCGUCAUUUCAACCCUCAAGCUCUGCUUGGUGUUGGGCCCUGCCCGCUCGCGGCCGGCCCUAAAGACAGUGGCGGCGCCGUCCGGCUCUGAGCGUAGUACAUCUCUCGCUCCAGCGCCUGGCGGUGGCCUGCCAGAACCCCAACUCUGUGGUUGACCUCGGAUCAGGUAGGGAUACCCGCUGAACUUAA